rnacentral:rRNA from 1 species
AUUAUUGGGCGUAAAGAGCUCGUAGGUGGUUGGUCACGUCUGCUGUGGAAACGCAACGCUUAACGUUGCGCGUGCAGUGGGUACGGGCUGACUAGAGUGCAGUAGGGGAGUCUGGAAUUCCUGGUGUAGCGGUGAAAUGCGCAGAUAUCAGGAGGAACACCGGUGGCGAAGGCGGGACUCUGGGCUGUAACUGACACUGAGGAGCGAAAGCAUGGGGAGCGAACAGGAUUAGAUACCCUGGUAGUCCAUGCCGUAAACGUUGGGCACUAGGUGUGGGGGACAUUCCACGUUCUCCGCGCCGUAGCUAACGCAUUAAGUGCCCCGCCUGGGGAGUACGGUCGCAAGGCUAAAACUCAAAGGAAUUGACGGGGGCCCGCACAAGCGGCGGAGCAUGCGGAUUAAUUCGAUGCAACGCGAAGAACCUUACCAAGGCUUGACAUACACUGGACCGUUCUGGAAACAGUUCUUCUCUUUGGAGCUGGUGUACAGGUGGUGCAUGGUUGUCGUCAGCUCGUGUCGUGAGAUGUUGGGUUAAGUCCCGCAACGAGCGCAACCCUCGUUCUAUGUUGCCAGCACGUGAUGGUGGGAACUCAUAGGAGACUGCCGGGGUCAACUCGGAGGAAGGUGGGGAUGACGUCAAAUCAUCAUGCCCUUUAUGUCUUGGGCUUCACGCAUGCUACAAUGGCUGGUACAGAGAGAGGCGAACCCGUGAGGGUGAGCGAAUCCCUUAAAGCCAGUCUCAGUUCGGAUCGUAGUCUGCAAUUCGACUACGUGAAGUCGGAGUCGCUAGUAAUCGCAGAUCAGCAACGCUGCGGUGAAUACGUUCCCGGGCCUUGUACACACCGCCCGUCAAGUCACGAAAGUCGGUAACACCCGAAGCCGGUGUCCCAACCCCUUUUUUGGGGAGGGGGCCGUCUAGGUGGGACUGGUGAUUGGGACUAAGUCGUAACAAGGU